GUUUGACCAUUCGUCUUAUUCAAAAAAUUUACGUAAUUACAAUUUAUUUUGUUAUGAGUUGUUUUAUCACUCAUAGUACUUUAAGUAUGAUUUAUAUCUUAUACAUUUGCACAAAAUUUUUAAAUAAGACGAAUGGUCAAAC
rnacentral:pre_miRNA from 1 species